UACGGAGGGGGCAAGCGUUAUUCGGAAUUAUUGGGCGUAAAGGGCGCGUAGGCGGCUAGAUGUGUCAAAGGUGAAAGCCCUCGGCUCAACCGAGGAAUUGCGCUCAAUACUGCCGAGCUCGAGAGAGACAGAGGUAAGCGGAACUAAUGGUGGAGCGGUGAAAUGCGUUGAUAUCAUUAGGAACACCGGUGGCGAAGGCGGCUUACUGGGUCUUUUCUGACGCUGAGGCACGAAAGCCAGGGGAGCGAACGGG
rnacentral:rRNA from 1 species